AUUGAACGCUGGCGGCAGGCCUAACACAUGCAAGUCGAGCGGUAGAGAGAAGCUUGCUUCUCUUGAGAGCGGCGGACGGGUGAGUAAUGCCUAGGAAUCUGCCUGGUAGUGGGGGAUAACGUUCGGAAACGGACGCUAAUACCGCAUACGUCCUACGGGAGAAAGCAGGGGACCUUCGGGCCUUGCGCUCUCAGAUGAGCCUAGGUCGGAUUAGCUAGUUGGUGGGGUAAUGGCUCACCAAGGCGACGAUCCGUAACUGGUCUGAGAGGAUGAUCAGUCACACUGGAACUGAGACACGGUCCAGACUCCUACGGGAGGCAGCAGUGGGGAAUAUUGGACAAUGGGCGAAAGCCUGAUCCAGCCAUGCCGCGUGUGUGAAGAAGGUCUUCGGAUUGUAAAGCACUUUAAGUUGGGAGGAAGGGCAGUAAAUUAAUACUUUGCUGUUUUGACGUUACCGACAGAAUAAGCACCGGCUAACUCUGUG
rnacentral:rRNA from 1 species